GGGCGGUUAGCUCAGCGGUAGAGCACCUCGCUUACACCGAGGGGGCCAGAGGUUCAAAUCCUCUACCGCCCA
rnacentral:tRNA from 1 species